rnacentral:rRNA from 1 species
UGUUUCGGCUAGGGGGCCAUCCCGGCUUACCAACCCGAUGCAAACUGCGAAUACCGGAGAAUGUUAUCACGGGAGACACACGGCGGGUGCUAACGUCCGUCGUGAAGAGGGAAACAACCCAGACCGCCAGCUAAGGUCCCAAAGUCAUGGUUAAGUGGGAAACGAUGUGGGAAGGCCCAGACAGCCAGGAUGUUGGCUUAGAAGCAGCCAUCAUUUAAAGAAAGCGUAAUAGCUCACUGGUCGAGUCGGCCUGCGCGGAAGAUGUAACGGGGCUAAACCAUGCACCGAAGCUGCGGCAGCGACACUGUGUGUUGUUGGGUAGGGGAGCGUUCUGUAAG